rnacentral:rRNA from 2 species
CGAGUUAUCUGAACCUUCGGGGAACGAUAACGGCGUCGAGCGGCGGACGGGUGAGUAAUGCCUAGGAAAUUGCCCUGAUGUGGGGGAUAACCAUUGGAAACGAUGGCUAAUACCGCAUGAUGCCUACGGGCCAAAGAGGGGGACCUUCGGGCCUCUCGCGUCAGGAUAUGCCUAGGUGGGAUUAGCUAGUUGGUGAGGUAAGGGCUCACCAAGGCGACGAUCCCUAGCUGGUCUGAGAGGAUGAUCAGCCACACUGGAACUGAGACACGGUCCAGACUCCUACGGGAGGCAGCAGUGGGGAAUAUUGCACAAUGGGCGCAAGCCUGAUGCAGCCAUGCCGCGUGUGUGAAGAAGGCCUUCGGGUUGUAAAGCACUUUCAGUCGUGAGGAAGGUAGUGUAGUUAAUAGCUGCAUUAUUUGACGUUAGCGACAGAAGAAGCACCGGCUAACUCCGUGCCAGCAGCCGCGGUAAUACGGAGGGUGCGAGCGUUAAUCGGAAUUACUGGGCGUAAAGCGCAUGCAGGUGGUUUGUUAAGUCAGAUGUGAAAGCCCGGGGCUCAACCUCGGAAUAGCAUUUGAAACUGGCAGACUAGAGUACUGUAGAGGGGGGUAGAAUUUCAGGUGUAGCGGUGAAAUGCGUAGAGAUCUGAAGGAAUACCGGUGGCGAAGGCGGCCCCCUGGACAGAUACUGACACUCAGAUGCGAAAGCGUGGGGAGCAAACAGGAUUAGAUACCCUGGUAGUCCACGCCGUAAACGAUGUCUACUUGGAGGUUGUGGCCUUGAGCCGUGGCUUUCGGAGCUAACGCGUUAAGUAGACCGCCUGGGGAGUACGGUCGCAAGAUUAAAACUCAAAUGAAUUGACGGGGGCCCGCACAAGCGGUGGAGCAUGUGGUUUAAUUCGAUGCAACGCGAAGAACCUUACCUACUCUUGACAUCCAGAGAACUUUCCAGAGAUGGAUUGGUGCCUUCGGGAACUCUGAGACAGGUGCUGCAUGGCUGUCGUCAGCUCGUGUUGUGAAAUGUUGGGUUAAGUCCCGCAACGAGCGCAACCCUUAUCCUUGUUUGCCAGCGAGUAAUGUCGGGAACUCCAGGGAGACUGCCGGUGAUAAACCGGAGGAAGGUGGGGACGACGUCAAGUCAUCAUGGCCCUUACGAGUAGGGCUACACACGUGCUACAAUGGCGCAUACAGAGGGCGGCCAACUUGCGAAAGUGAGCGAAUCCCAAAAAGUGCGUCGUAGUCCGGAUUGGAGUCUGCAACUCGACUCCAUGAAGUCGGAAUCGCUAGUAAUCGUGGAUCAGAAUGCCACGGUGAAUACGUUCCCGGGCCUUGUACACACCGCCCGUCACACCAUGGGAGUGGGCUGCAAAAGAAGUAGGUAGUUUAA